UAUUGGACAAUGGGUGUAAGCCUGAUCCAGCCAUUCCGAGUGUGUGAAGAAGGUCUUAGGCUUGUAAAGCACUUUAAGUUGGGAGGAAGGGGUUGACGCCAACACCUUCAAUCUACGACGCUACAACCAGACUAAGCAUAGUCAAACCCACUCCAAGCAGCAGCGGUAAUACAGAGGUUGCAAGCGUUAAUCGGAAUUACAGGGCGUAACGGGCGCAUAGGUGGUUCAGUAAGAUGGAAGUGAAAUCCCCGGGCUUAACCUGGGAACUGCUUUCAUAACUGCUGAGCUAGAGUACGGUAGAGGGUAGUGGAAUUUCCUGUGUAGCGGUGAAAUGCGUAGAUAUAGGAAGGAACGCCAGUGGCGAAGGCGACUACCUGGACUGAUACUGACACUGAGGUGCGAAAGCGUGGGGAGCAAACAGG
rnacentral:rRNA from 1 species